GGUAUAAAUCAUAUUUCUUAAAAAAAUGAAAUAUGUUUCUCAAAUUCUAUGGCCAAACACAUGGUAAAUUUCACCCAAAUUUUCAUCCAAAUAAUAUUUGCCAAAAAUAUUUGAAUAUCUAUGGCCAAACGCUAGCUUAAGGAACGCAGGCUAAUAAUAGGUAUAAUAAUUGAUGAUGGGAAGAGUGCAAUUCAUAUAAUUAAUACAUAAAGAGAUUCAAACAAAUAUCACGCCAAGACCAAACCCGACAACACUCAUGGAUGUUUACAAACUCCAAUUUCUUUUAGACUCAAAAUUU
rnacentral:misc_RNA from 1 species